AGUCAGGUCGGCGAGGCGUACUUGGUCUGCAAAUAGGACAACUCUGGCCGCGCGGUGUGUAUUGGUCGGUGCAAGCGAGAGCCGGACAUCUAACCACGGGGCUGUCAGGUAGGCAAAUAGGACAACGCUGGCCGCGCGGUGUGUAUUGGUCUGUGCAAGCAAGAGCCGGACAUCUAACCACGAAGCUGUCGGCUUGGCAAAUAGGACAACGCUGGCCGCGCGGUGUGUAUUGGUCGGGGCAAGCAAGAAGCGGACAUCUUACUACGGAGCUGUCAGGUAGGCAAAUAGGACAACGCUGGCCGCGCGGUGUGUGUUGGUCGGGGCAAGCAAGAGCCGGACAUCUAACCACGGAGGAGUCAGGAAGUCCAGGAG